UACGGAGGGUGCAAGCGUUAUCCGGAUUCACUGGGUUUAAAGGGUGCGUAGGUGGGCAGGUAAGUCAGUGGUGAAAUCUCCGGGCUUAACCCGGAAACUGCCAUUGAUACUGUCGAUCUGGAGUAUGGAAGAGGUGAGUGGAAUUCCGAGUGUAGAGGUGAAAUUCGUAGAUAUUCGGAGGAACACCAGAGGCGAAGGCGGCCUGCUGGGCUGCACCUGACGCUGAGCCGCGAAAGCCAGGGGAGCGAACGGG
rnacentral:rRNA from 1 species